CCGUCGCCGCCAGGGGGAGCGUCCGUCGGGAAGCGCGGGGCUGCUUCCUCGGUGUGAAGACGCUUUCAAACUUCGGGUCCCCGGGCCUCUGCCGCGGCUUUGAAGCGCGCGGAGGAAGAUGGAGACCGAGCGCGGAGCGCAAACAUCAAAUCAGACGCAAACAGAUUCAUUAUCUCCAUCCCCUAAUCCUGUGUCACCUGUGCCUUUGAAUAACCCAACAAGUGCCCCAAGAUAUGGAACAGUGAUCCCUAAUCGCAUCUUUGUAGGAGGAAUUGACUUUAAGACAAAUGAAAAUGAUUUAAGAAAAUUUUUUUCCCAGUAUGGGUCUGUAAAAGAAGUGAAGAUUGUAAAUGACAGAGCUGGAGUGUCCAAAGGGUAUGGUUUUGUCACUUUUGAAACACAAGAAGAUGCACAAAAAAUUUUACAAGAGGCUGAAAAACUUAAUUAUAAGGAUAAGAAAUUGAACAUUGGUCCAGCAAUAAGAAAGCAACAAGUAGGAAUCCCUCGUUCCAGUAUAAUGCCAGCAGCUGGAACAAUGUAUCUAACAACUUCAACUGGAUAUCCUUACACUUAUCAUAAUGGUGUUGCUUAUUUUCAUACUCCAGAGGUAACUUCUGUCCCACCACCUUGGCCUUCACGUUCUAUAUCUAGUUCUCCUGUGAUGGUAGCUCAGCCAGUUUAUCAGCAACCUGCAUAUCACUACCAGGCCCCUGCACAGUAUCUACCAGGACAGUGGCAGUGGGGUGUUCCUCAGUCUCCUGCCUCUACUGCUCCAUUCUUAUACCUGCAACCUUCUGAGGUUAUCUAUCAACCAGUGGAAAUUGCACAAGAUGGUGGAUGUGUCCCUCCUCCACUGUCUCUGAUGGAAGCUUCAGUUCCAGAGCCUUAUUCUGAUCAUGGAGUUCAAGCAACAUAUCACCAAGUUUAUGCUCCAAGUGCCAUCGCUAUGCCUGCACCUGUGAUGCAGCCUGAACCAAUUAAAACAGUGUGGAGCAUUCAUUAUUAAGACAAUUGGGCAGCUCUAGUCCAACUCAACUGAUUUCUUGUCCAAUGAUCCUUGUGUGGCCGAGAUCCAGCUUCCAACGAACCGGCUAGAAGCUGCCCGUUGUGACACUUAGGGAACCAAGGUUAUAUUCUGUGAGAAGAAGCUUUUCUCAGCCUUCAUCUGUAGGUUUGAAACCUCGAUAUUCUCGAAGCCCACUUUCAUCCUAGAAAAGAUUUCAGAGCAGAGGAUUCAAUUCUUACUCCAUCUUCCUCUACUGAAUCUGUUAAGUAGAGUCUUAGAUAACUAUUUUAUCCAAUAAUAGAAAACAACUGACCCCACGUGCGGUCUGGUAACAAAUAUGAGGGGUUUGGAUGUGCCUAAUGUAAGAUGAUUUAGCUUUCUUAAGGGCAUUAAAGAAAUCUUAGUAGCCAGAACAUUGGAGGUGCAGGAUAAAAAUCAUGGUUUCCUUUAUUAAUUUCACACACAUUUAAAUAACAGACUUAUAACUUGUAACAAAGAGAACAAAGGUCAUAACUCUAUAAAGCAACAAAUACAAAAAAAUAAAAUAAAAUAAAAUAAAAAUAAAGCAACAAAUACCUUGAGAAAGUUUGAAAAAUUUUGUCAUUAUCUGGCUAUCUUAUGAACAUGAUAAUGUAAAUAAGCACUUAAAAACAUUUUUGGUGUUUGGAUUUUUCAGAUUUAUUCCAGAUGUUUCAUUAUUUGUAGACAUAACCAUGGCAUAUACAGAAUAUACAUAGCAACAGGCCGUUGUUGUAAUAUAGCAAAUUUUAAAAAACACUAUCUUGCUGGGGAGAUAAUGGGAUUCUAGCUUCCACAUCAUUUUGGCUUUGCUGUAUUUAAGUUUGUAUAUAUUUUACUUACAUAAAAUACUUUUUUAUAAAACAAACUCUAGAUUUACAUUAGAAAUUUUGACAGAUAUUAAUACAUGUGAAGAUCAUUUAUAUAUAUAAUAUCUGGAAUUGUCAUAUUAUGACCGUUUAUUUUAUACCAGUUACUAUGACCAGAGUAGACACUGUUCUUAAACGUGCUUAAAUAGAUCUCUAUAUCUAUUCUGACCCUCUUUUGUCAUUCACACCAAAAGUGUAAGGGUUCUUAUAGCAUCUCAGCAAGGGGUAUAAGCAUUCACUGCAUAUAUCAUGUCAGAUUCAAUACAUAUUUUUUUCCUUUAACACUGUGACAAUAUCGUUUUUCCUUUUUAUCUUUUCAUUCAGGUCUUAGUUUGUGAGCUUUCUAGGCUUUCAAAACGUUAACUUUCAAUGAACUUAACCCAUAACAUUGUAUUUCACCUUUUAAAUACAAAGACACUAUGGCUGCUCUUACAUAAGUUUUUUAUGAUUAAGAAAUGCAACACUUGGUUAAAAUUUAAAAAUGGCCAUGCCAACUUUUCUUUAAAUGCUGCCUGCUUAAUGUAUGUCCCAACUUUCUUCUGUAAAACAUUAUAUUCCUUAUAUACAAGCCUGGAUUAAUAAUAAAACAAUUAAAAGUAAGAUAAAUAAGCAACAUUUAAACUGACUACAUGUAAUUUUAUCUAGUAUUUCUUGAAAUUUGAUUGCACAAUACUAGAAAAGAGUCUUAUUUUUCUCACUAUUUUGAUUUCGUGUCUAUUACAAAACCUAAAGCUAGUUUGCACUUCUGUUGAAAAGAGUAAGAAUUAUAUAUUAAAACCUUCUAUAACGUUAGGAAGGUAACCCAAUUAUAACAAUUUUUUUAUCUUGCCUCAUAAAGAAUAAUGAAUUAUCCAUUGAUGUAUCUUCUUUUUGGGUAUAUUGCCAAAAUGUUUCUGGGCUAAAAUAUCUAUGUAAAGAAAUAAAAUGUAAUAACAUAGUUAUAUAAAUUAUUCUGGCACAUCCUAAGACCACUCCAGCUAUUGAGAAUAUUUUAUUUUGCUACCUUUAUUAUGAAAGUAACAUGCUAUGUGUUAACGUCUAGUAUUCUAUAAUUAGAGCUGUAGGCAAAAGUAUCAUGAAACAUUCUAUUUAAUACUCCACUUGUCUGGCAUUUUCAUUUUAAUCCCAUAUUUGAUAUUCAGGCUUAUUUGGUAUAUACCAAGGCAUUAUUUUUUCUAAAACUUUUGUAAGUUUCAAGAAUCCAAGAGUAACUGCAUUUUCCUUCAGAGAAAGAUUUCUAUUUGAAGUGUUUUUCUUAGCUAAUUUAUUUUAGGCAAUUUUACACUUAACCAAAAGGUCAUGAUGCACUUUCACAGUACAUUAAUUCAACUCUAUAAAGAUGAGACUAUUUUAUUUUUCUCUCCAGAUAUAAAUUACAGAAAAAUGGAGAUAAUAUGAAAGUCAUUAAUAUACAACAGCAACAAACCCCCAAAACCCUGUUAUGCUUAAAUUGUGAUAUUUGGCUCUUAUUUUAUAGGGAACUUAAGAUACCAAUAAUAGCAAAAACAGCUGUAAUAGCUUUUAAGAGGUAAAUGUUCUAGCUUUUAACUACCAAGGUCCUUUUUUUGCUGCAAGUUAGGAUAUCAAAAUGGACAGAGAUAUGGAGACUAAACCCUCAUCUUUAGCCUCAUAGAUUCUGAAAUGACCAAUGAUAAUAUAUAAAGGAAAUGCUUAAUCAACACAAAAAGUAUUACCAAAAAAGCAUUUUUUUCCUUUGAUGUUUUGGAGAAAACAUCUAAAGGAUAAUAAUUUUAAAGUAUACAUCAAUAAUUUGAGAUGGUUUUAAUAAUUUCAAUGUGUUUCUUGCUAAUCAUAUUUAAGAUCUUUGUUUUAACAUGUCUAACUUUGGUAUCAAAGCAAAGCAAAUUAUAUAAUAUAUCCACUUAAAUAUUUUUAGCAACACAUAAAAUAAACUUUCUAAAAUCUUUAUUAGUAUCUGAUUAUGCAAAUUAUUUUUAAAAGAUACUAAUAUAAAGUAAAUUGUUCCUGUACUAUCCAAAUGCUGGCCAUUAAGGUUAACCUUAGGAUUAUUUUAUUUAGGCUAUAUACAACUGUUUGUGAGAACAGUUUUCAAUUAAAAUAACACAUACAUCCUAAUGUCUGUGACAAAGGAAAAAUGAAAAUAAAUUCAACAAUCCUAUGUUUACCAGUUAGAUUUUCAUGCCUGUGCCCUGUGUGUCUAUCUUUAGAGAAUUAUUUAAAACUCUUGAACUCAAACUUAACCUACCUUCACAUAUGAAUAUUUAAAACAGCUACCUCUACAGACUUACCAACGAUGGGUUUUGAUAACUUGGUUGACCUUGGUAGUCUCCUUCUCACCACUCUUGAUGUUAGGCAGUAAGUUUUCGCUACUUUUCCUUUGCUUUUCUGAGAUCAGGUUGAUUUCCUAAUUUUUACACUUAGCUAUACACAGUUAGUUAUACAUUUAUAUUGGGUUUUGUGCCCCAGAAUGGAUAGCUCUACUUUUAGAUGGUCUCCAUAGAUUAUGGAAAAGGGAAGAAGUCCCAUAUUUCUCCUUAGGAUAGAAAACUAAUUUUAUGACAUCAGUUACAUCCAAAAAUAUUUUACUUAAAAUGUUAUGAAUUAACUACCUUCUAGAGGCUGAUUUUUAUGUGGGCAACAUUUAAAUAAAAAUCUUUCUAGUUUGAGGAUUAUUAACUAAUAAUUAUUUUUUAAAGCUAGGUCAGACAAUGUCAUAACGAACAUAAACAUUUUUUCCUUUAUAUUUAGCAAAAAUACUCCUUCCAUAUUUUAAAUGGUGUGAAAAUCUAACCAUCAGUUUUCGUGCAAUGAACCAUACAUACUAUCAAUAAUUCAUUUCUGUGCUUAAAGUCUUCUCUAUAAAUACCAAAAUGGGCUUCUUAUACAUUGUUACUUGAUUUUUAUUUAGUUACAUUCCAGGGAUGAGUUAUAAAAUGAAACUGAACUGAGGAAUAAAAGGUUUACUUUUUAAAAAUGUAGGGAGUUUCCAGCAAAUAAGUUUUAUAGAAAUUUAAAUAUAAAAAGUUAAUGCAGUAAAUUCAGGAUUGAAGAUUCUUUGCUUAAUGUGAAAGCCUUUGUAAACUGCUUUAGUAAGUAAUUUUUUAAAGACAACCUAAAAAAUGCUAUAUAUUUUUUAUAACACACCAGUGUGAUUAUAUUAACAAGUCAUAUUCUACAUGCAAAAAAUACCAAAAAGGCACCCAUCGUGCCUUGCUAACUUGGGACUUUGUAAAACUUGGAUUUAAACCUAAUUCUGAAGAAAUUAUUUAAAAAAAAAAAAAAGAUGGAGGUGUUCUUGGCUCCCAAGUUAGCAAGGACUUUAAUACUUUUUUAUACAUUUUUAAAAAUACAAUUUAAAUGAUAGCUUAGAGACCUAUAUAAACAUAGGUUUUAUCACAUUUCUUCAAGGUGUAGCCCAUGUCCAACCUAAUACCUACAUUUCAUUAAAAAUGUAAAAUAUGACAUUUUGUGCGGUUCCUAAUAAAAUCUCUAAUUAGGGGGAAUUAGAACAUGCCUUGACUUGUGUAUGAGAUAACUAACCAGGAAUUAUUCAGUAGGUGGCCCAUUAGCUAAUGGGGUGAUACUUGCUUUGGUAAUAACUAGAGUCAAAGGGCAUUUAAUCUGGUUUCUGCAGGCUUAUUAGGAAAGACAUUGUAAGAAUACAGUAAUAAAUGUUCAGUAAAUUCAUAGAACUUAAAAUUGUUAAAUAGAUGAGUCUUUUCGUAAGUUCAUCUGUAUUAAAACUAAAACUGUAUGUAUGAAAUGAAAAAGUUUCAGUGUUUGUGAGCUCUAAUAAAAUUCUCUGGCUUUGUUACUA